CGGGCUGAGAGCGCUGCUUGCAUUGCGCUGCUUGCAUUGCUUUUCUUUUCUGAUGGUAUUGCUGAUCUAUUUUCCCUGUCUUGAUAAUGGUUAUGACACUUUUGCUGGCAGCAGCAGCAGCACCAGCCAGAGAUCCCCUCACAGUUUCCUGCUUUGGCAUUCUGCACCGAGGGCCUGGUGAUCUUCACUUUUAUUAUGGAUAUUUCCAGCUUGGGACCUGCACCAGUCACUGCUUUACAGUGAUGCCUAAAAUAGUUGCUGAUUUUACUGCGAUGAACCAUUAAAUGUAGAUUGAGAAGUCCUCUGGGUUGAAAAGGCAGGAAAUUACCUCUGAUUAGCAGUUGAUUUAACUCAGUGGAAGAAAAAGAUAAAUAUCUGGAGAACGGGAAUAGAAGGAUGGAAGAUCACAGGAACUGACAUUUCCUCUGUACUGUACAAGUGUGCCUUUCCCCUUGUGUGAAGGAAGUCUGGACUCGACAGCCUUGCAGGCCUCAAGAACAUAGUGCAGAAUUAAAUCAGACCCUCCAGCGAUCCACAGUAAAAGUUCUGAGAUUGGUCUGAAUUUGAAUACUAGAAUAACAGUGAUAUUCAGAUGAGGGUCUCAGCCCUUUCUGUCUUUAGAAAGCAUUCAAAAAUACUUUGUCCAAGAUUUUCAAACCAAAAAAGUAAUAAUUUUAUAAUGAUACUUAAUUUUUCUCAAGAUUCAUCGUGAACGUGCCAUUGCACAAGUCAGCCUUUCUAACGGUCUGUUAAAAAUACACUUGAGACUUUCCCUUGAAACAUGAGGGAAACUUUAUAUUUUCAGAAUGUUAUGAUGGGGAAGAAAAGCCCUAAGAAAGGUGUUCAUCCCAUCUUUGUUGUUAUGUGAGGGUAAAAUGAGGAACCUGAAGUACUUGCUGCCUGGUCUCCAGAGCAGAGGACUCAGGGAAGUUUCCUCCUUUUGUGGUGAGAUGCUUUCUCAUGUAUCCAAGUACGAAUCUUUGGAGCUUUGUCAUGGUGAUGGUGGUUGUAUGGGAACUGCUGAGGCACGGCCUGAACCUCUGAUUGAUCACCUGAGGCGAGCACUGAGUCAGCCACAGGAGCACAGGUGAAGGCAAUUCAGCUGUGCUGCUCCUACACCUAUUUAAGAGCUGGCUACCAGUAGGGAAGGAUCUCUUCUGAAGAUCUGCUUGGCUGGAGUUUUGUAAGUGAGCCCAGGAUAGGGAGAUACGUAUGUUGAACUGACCCAAAGUUAUUCCUCCUGACCUUACUUGGGAGCCACUGAAUCACAACACAGAGAGAGCUGCCAAUGUCUACAACAGGGUGCCUGCUGGCCAUUAGGCUGAAAAGAGAAAUGAGUAAUGUGAUGGUGCAGGUACCUGCUUUAAAAGGAAGGAGACUGCAAUGCUCAUCAGACCUUUUAAAGAAGUGUGGCGAAUAGAAAGCACUAAAAAAAGCUUUAAGAAAUGUACAACUGUGGAGUCAAAAGCAUCUGCUGGUGUCUGUGAAAAUCCAGUCUGUGAGGAGGUGGUGCUCCGUUUGCAUCUUGCACAGGAUCUCUGGCCUUUCUGAAAGCAUGAACUCAACGAGUAUAAGCACUGAAGUGACAUCUGACCUUUGAACUUGCAUGUGAAGGCUGCGAGGUCUUUGCAGGCCCAAGAAUAAAUCAAUACAUGCACAGAUGUAGUAGCAGGCACAAAUAUUCUAACUGACUCGCAACACCUGUCUGCAGCCUUGGCAAAACCCUGUAAUGGCCAUUUUCCUAACUCUGUCUUACUCUCUUGUGAAGGGGGGGGGGUGGAGCUUGACAGGCAGGUUUUUUUGGAGGGGAUUGCACCUGCAUCCAGCAUCUGGGAAGCAGCUACAGGUGUGGGCUGCUCCUGGUACUGCUGCCUUUGUGCAGAGUUGCAGCAGCCAGAUACCUUGCAGCUCCCCAGAAGCUGUCAAAGAGGCAGCGGUGUAUCUUUUAGCCUCACUUGGACUCAUAAGACUGCAGUAGCAGCAUUGUCAAUGACUAGUGAGAGAUAAAUUACAUGUUUUUCUAGUGCUGUCCUUUGUAACAACUGUGCCCUAACAGCGGGAGGAAAGGGGAUAGUUAAAAGCAGGUUUAAUCCCACAGGGAUGGUUUAUUUCCUCUAACUACUGCACUCACCAGUAGCUCUAUUCCUCACACAGCCUCCCUUCUUCUUCUCCUUCACCUCAUUCCAUCCCUCAGCAAAGUUACCUUUGCAGUAAUGGCCUGCUCCUGGCAAGGAUUAAUGGGUUAUUGGAAUUUGUGCACCUUACAGGAGUCUGGCAUAUAUUCUUAUGAGUUUUAUUGUAAUGCACCACAGUCUAUCAUUUCAUUAAACUGUACAUGUCAUGGUUAUUUGCUGUUAUUCCCUAGACCUCUACAUGCAUUUAUAUCAGUCUCAAACAGCAAUAAAAUGAAAAAUAAAAUAUAAAGGAAUAAUGUCUAAACACAUGCAGAGGGUCAAGGGAGACUGUAUGCUGACCACAACAACAAAUUUAUCGCCUCAUUUAUGUGUGGGUUGGGGAGAGAACAAUUUCUUUGCUGCAUUUUAAUUAACUGUGUUUCACUGCAUGGUAGUAAAGAUAAUAACCACAACAUUAGUGUGACUACUAUGCUAUCAAAUGCUUGUCACAGCCUAAUACUCUCCAACAAUAUAGCUUCACAAUGGAAACACGUACAACAAAAGAGCAGCUUGUUUCAUUAAUUUAUGGGCAUUCUCUCUUUUUUUUGAAAGGCCAGUAUGUAUUUCUGGGAGACUGAUUAAAAUAGAAAGACAUAAACCUGGUAGAGAAUAAUAUUUUUACCGGUGUGGGAUUCUUUAACAAAAGCAUUCCUUCAGGAAAACAGAACCAAGAUGCUAAUGUUAUAUCUCAUUUAUUGCCAGCAUAUUCAGUGACAUUUCAUAAUGUACAUCUGUCAGCCAGAGAUAUAAAUGAAUGAGGUGAACCGUGCAAUUUACCCUCAGGAAGUUCCAUUAGAGCCCCCAAAGUAUAAUAUUUAUGAGGUCAGAAUCAAUUAAUCAGAUGUAUCAGAUGUAGCUGUAUUUGCUUUUCAGCUCAGCGUACUCUUCUGCAGCAAGCUGUUGCAUUCAGAAAGACAUUUCUGUUUGGUAAGAGGAGUCAGUUUGUAUGUACUGCAUGCAGUCUGUUUUGUAAAUCAAUUGCUAUCCUCGUGCAGCUUAUACUCAGUACAAAUGCAAACUAUAAGGGAAUGUAAAAAUGGAUCUCUAUCAAAAUGUACAUCAGGGUAGAAUUCUUCUGUAUCUCCUACUGAUUGCUGCAGCCUGGCUCCAUUGAAAAUGAGAGAAAUGUGUGGGAAAAUCAUAUAUCUCAACCAAAGAUAACUCCAGUAAAUGGAAAAUCUUUUGGAGAAGGAAGA